CUACGGGAGGCAGCAGUGAGGAAUAUUGCACAAUGGGGGGAACCCUGAUGCAGCAACGCCGCGUGGAGGAUGACGCAUUUCGGUGUGUAAACUCCUUUUAUAUGUCAAGAAAAUGACGGUAGCAUAUGAAUAAGCACCGGCUAACUCCGUGCCAGCAGCCGCGGUAAUAGGGGGGGUGCAAGCGUUACUCGGAAUCACUGGGCGUAAAGGACGCGUAGGCGGGUUGGAAAGUCAGGUGUGAAAUCCUACAGCUUAACUGUAGAACUGUACUUGAAACUUCUAAUCUAGAGUAUGGGAGGGGGAGAUGGAAUUAGUGGUGUAGGGGUAAAAUCCGUAGAUAUCACUAGGAAUACUUAAAGCGAAGGCGAUCUCCUGGAACAUUACUGACGCUAAGGCGUGAAAGCGUGGGGAGCAAACAGGAUUAGAUACCCUCGUAGUC
rnacentral:rRNA from 1 species